AACCAUAGAAACCUGCGGAGUACCUGCGGAAGGAUCAUUACAAAAGUUAUACACUUGGGGAAAGGACUCGUCUUUCGGGACUUGAGGCCUGACUCCAUUUGUAACACAACUUUCAACCACUUGUGAACAUGUAAUAAUUAUCUCACCAAUUGACUGUUAACGAAGUCUGAUUCAAAUUGUAUUGGUGUUAAUAGACACUAGUAAAAUAUGAAACAACUUUCAGCAAUGGAUCUCAGAUCG
rnacentral:misc_RNA from 1 species